rnacentral:misc_RNA from 1 species
GUGAAUCAUCGAAUCUUUGAACGCAUAUUGCACUCCCUGGUAUUCCGGAGAGCAUGCCUGUUUGAGGGUCAGUUAAAUAAAAAUCGAUGUUAUUGCCAUUUUUUUUGGUGAUGCAUCGGAAUUGAGUCGUUUUUGCCUUUGGUUUAAGUGACUUAAAAGUUUGCAUGAUUUUUGAACGUAUUUUUAUUAUUUACGUAUGUGUAUAAUAAUCGUAUUUUAGGUGUGGUAAUUCUUAUGUUAAUUAACACUUAUAAUUUUUUUAUUAU